AGAGUUUGAUCCUGGCUCAGGAUGAACGCUGGCGGCGUGCCUAAUACAUGCAAGUCGAGCGAACCACUUCGGUGGGAAGCGGCGAACGGGUGAGUAACACGUAGGUGAUCUGCCCAUCAGACGGGGACAACGAUUGGAAACGAUCGCUAAUACCGGAUAGGACGAAAGUUUAAAGAUGCUCCUGGCAUCACUGAUGGAUGAGCCUGCGGCGCAUUAGCUAGUUGGUGGGGUAAAGGCCUACCAAGGCGACGAUGCGUAGCCGACCUGAGAGGGUGAACGGCCACACUGGGACUGAGACACGGCCCAGACUCCUACGGGAGGCAGCAGUAGGGAAUCUUCGGCAAUGGGCGAAAGCCUGACCGAGCAACGCCGCGUGAAUGAAGAAGGCCUUCGGGUUGUAAAAUUCUGUUAUAAGGGAAGAAAGGCGAUAGGAGGAAAUGACUAUCAAUUGACGGUACCUUAUGAGAAAGCCACGGCUAACUACGUG
rnacentral:rRNA from 1 species